CCCUUAGAUGUUCUGGGCCGCACGCGCGCUACACUGAUGCAUUCAACGAGCCUAUCCUUGACCGACAGGUCCGGGUAAUCUUUGAAUCUGCAUCGUGACGGGGAUAGAUUAUUGCAAUUAUUAAUCUUCAACGAGGAAUGCCUAGUAGGCGCAAGUCAUCAGCUUGCGUCGAUUACGUCCCUGCCCUUUGUACACACCGCCCGUCGCUACUACUGAUUGGAUGUUUAAGCGAGGUUCUCGAACUGCUAGUGACUGAUCUUCGGUGAGGUCGCAGUGUGGGAAGUGAACCUAGCUUUGGUGUCUAGAGGAAGUAAAAGUCGUAACA
rnacentral:rRNA from 1 species